UUCCUUCUGCUUACUUUGGGUUUAAUUUGCUCUUUUAUUUUUUCCUAACUUCUUAAGGUGCAAGCUUAAAGUGUUGCUGUUAGACCUUUCUUCUCUUGUAAUUUACCAAGUGAGGAGUGUUGAAAUAUCCAACUAUAAUUUGUGGAUUUCUCCUUUCAAUACUAUCAUUUUUGGUGCUUCAUGUAUUUUUGAAGCUCUAUUUUUAGCGGAGACCUGAAAGCAGCUUAACCAUGAGCAGCACUCAACUAAGCAAAGAAAUUCUUCGCAAUAAAUAGGGAUGUUUGAAAGGUUUUACGUUGGACCCGCCUUACCGUAGACAGACACUAGAGGGUGCUCCUCGCUCAGAAAGCCGCGUGUUUCCAGGCCUGGGACCUCUGCCAGAAAGCGCUUGGACUGCUGGUCCUGAAACUUCCUCUUUGGGUCUGGUAAUUUACUGGGGAGAAGUAUCUGCUCCCUUGGUUCUGAAACUAAAGGCUUUUACGGAAGGAGGAGGAGACUGCAAGCGGCUACAUGGAGCAGAAAUGUGGCUCCUCCAAACUUUCACCAAUUGGAGUUCUGCUGGACUGCGACUUGGAGAAUACGAGCAGUGUCUCAUUCACCCAGGAGUCCCAGGGUCUAGCACACAUAGUGUCUGGCAGAUAGUAAGCGCUUUGUAAAUAUUUAUGGAAUGGGACCAACCAAUGGGGGUGUCUGAGACCUAAAUAAUUACAAUUCCAAAUUGGGGAGUGCUGGCACGAUGACCACACAGUAUUAAGGGCGCUCCCAGAAGAAUGGGGGCUGGGGAGGACUGGCCAGAAGGGCUUCCUGAAAUUCAGGAGCCCUGGCACUCUCUGGAGUACACAGAAAAGAUCUUCCACAUCUGGCUUUUGGAUAUUUAAAAACAGCUUCAUGCUCCAUUUCUUCCAUGUCCUUCCUGUGGAAUGAUUUCUAGGCUUUUCACUAAGUUGAUUGCUCCCUGCAGACUUACAGGAAGGCAAAUAAUAGUUUAGCACCUACUGGGUUCAAGCAUCUCCUAUGAUCUCCAUUAUCUGAUUUAAUUGUGUCUUUAUCUCAUUUAAUCCCUGCAACAACUCUCUGAGACUAAGGUUAUUAUCCACAUUCUACAGAUUAGAACUUGGCAAGGUUUGAUAACGGGCCCAAGAUCACACCAUCAGGGACCGACAGGACCAGUAUUUGAACCCAGAUAGUCUAGUAGCAAAAGAUGCUUUUAAAAAUUUUCACUUAAAAGAAUAACAACAACAGCAACUAACAGUAUGGAGGGGGCCAGAUACUUUUCUGUGUUUUACAUUUAUUAACUCAUUUAAGUUGUUUAAUUGCUAUACACUUAGAUGUCAUCCUUUCUAUUAGUACAUUGUUAGUACUGAAAAGUGAAGAGAAUGAUUAACAAACACCCAUGUACUCAUCACCUGCCAUAAAAAAAGAUUAAAGUUGAUAUUAUCCAGCCGCAAAAAUAUUGAAAAAGAACAAGGUUGGAGAACUUGGCCCA